UAUUUGGCUUAACGAUAAAAAAAAUAGUAUUUAAAAAAGAAAUUUCAGUGCAUUUUCAAUUCAUUCAAUCCAAAUUAUCAAUAUGGGUAAAAUGUCAAUUUUCGUUACUGUCGUUAUUGGUGUCCUAGUACUCCUUGUGGACACAGCUCUUUGUCAAGUUAACGCAAAUGUCCCUGGUGUAAUUGCAGCAACGGUAUUACCAAGAGAAGGAAACUAAACUCAAAUUAAAGUUGACUUAACAAAUUUGUAUACGAAAAUUAAACUAAUUAUAUUAAUUCAAUUUUUUUGAUUAUUAUUCUGCAGUUAUAUAUUAAUACCUCGAAAGAAAAAAUAAGUUAAUAAAUAUGUACAAUGCUAAACAAAACUAAAUCCAUGCAAUGCUAAAUAAAAACUUCGCCAACAGAUUAAA